AAUUGUAUCGACCGGGAAUCGAACCCGGGCCGCCCGCGUGGCAGGCGAGCUUUCUACCACUGAACCACCGAUGCGACAAG
ensembl:ncRNA F10C1.16 ncRNA